GCCCCGUCAUGAUGAGCCUUCCAACCUGGCUGCGCGCUGUCUUACAAUGCUUGGCAAACCUCGCACAAGACAAGAAGGUCAAUAUGGCUGGUAGACUUGGUGUCAUUAGUUUGGCGAGCUUUGCAGCUACAUCGUUACGAAUUUGUCGGCCUAUCCCUGCGGUACGCACAGCACGAAACGCUUUUGGUUCAACCAAGCCUCUGAAUGGUGCGUCGAGUCAAGGAGGUUCAUCAAUUGAGCUGAUGAAGUGCUUCUCAGUACAGUCAGAGCACGCAGUCUUUGCCCCUCCCAUAUCACUGGAGGACCAUGCCGGUACCCGGAAUCGAGCCAAGAUGACAAGUGAUGUUGGGAUGGAUGUGGAAAACAAGCAGCUCAUCGUUUCCUUGAAAGGAGGCCUGAGGCAGGCUUUCCCGUUUGUCUGGCUUCGAGACAAUUGUCAAUGCCCGGUUUGCUUCCAUCCCACAGCCAUGUCUCGGAAAACAUACGCCUACGAGCUCAAUGUUGAUAUCACUGCUAAAUCGGUUGAAAUGUCUCCCGACUCCAAUGGCGUCAUCAUCCACUGGGAAGACGGACACAAGAGCCACUUCACCUUUCAUUGGCUGAGGGCCUACUGCUUUAUCGACUCCAAGCAAGACCAAUAUCUGGAUCCCAAGUUCGACUUUUGGGGCGCUGAUAUCGACCUUCAGAGCUUCAACUUCGAUGAGGUACUUAAGAACGACGGAGCCUUGUACAACUGGCUGACUGAGCUGGUGAGUCGAGGCAUUGCGGUGGUGACGAACGCUCCGUCCAAGGUGGGUCAGCUUCACAGUCUUGGGGGACGAGUGGCCUUCCUGCGGCCCUCCAACUACGGACCAACCUUCCAAGUGAAGAGCAAAGUUGACCCGAAUCAUGUAGCUUACACAAGUGGUGCCUUGUCUUUACACACUGACAUGGCAUAUUACAUUCGACAACCAGGGAUUCAAAUGCUACACUGCAUAGAUCAAGCGGAGGGCACUGGCGGCGAGAAUCUCUUCUCUGACGGCUUCAAGGUUGCCAUGGAUCUGAAGGAAGAUGACCCAGAGGCCUUUCGACUUCUGUCCACCAUUCCGUUCGAAUUUUCUGACGUGGGCACAGAUUACUACGGCAGCUUCCACCAGUACUCUCGGCACCCGACUAUUAGACUGGACGAACGCGGGGAAGUCGUGUCGGUGACUUUGAGUGACCACAGCCGAGACCCAAUGCUGAGGGCUCCUCUCCACCAGGUCCAGCCGCUCUAUCGAGCUUUGAAUAAGUACUGCAACAUGCUUCUCGACCCGCAAAAUGUCUUCAAAUACAAAAUGGAAAAGGGAGAUAUCAUGACUUUCAACAACCGCCGUGCCCUGCACGGCCGAAGCUCUUUCAGAGUGACUCAGGCUGGUGGCCGCCAUCUUGAAGGGGGUUACCUCGAAUGGGAUGAGGUCAAUUCACGUCUACGUGUCCUGGCAGCACAGCUCAACUCAAAGUGAGACAAACGAGAAGCAGGGAGGUGAAAUGGAAAGGUUCAUGUACAUGCUUGUGUUUUACUCUGCCAAAGUGAAGACGAUGGAGAACGUACACGUCCACGUCCAGUCUUCGACUGGCUCGAAACUAAGAGUACUUAGACGCGAAGUACGUGAUUUAAAUGAAAGAGGAUACAAAUGAGUGAAUUUCGGACAGAUAAGUAACAUGUAAAUUAACCACGAUAUUAGUGACUAUAGCUUGAUACAAAGCAUAAGGGAGGUUACAGUUUUACGCUCAGAAAUUGGCGAUGGAUUCACGCCGUAACCAUUUUCUAAGGCGUUGAUAUAAGCAAGGGGCUUUAGUUAUGUUUGCUUCCAGUGCAUUUCUUACAAAAAAGUUAAUAGCGCCCUCCUUUGACCGGUAAUCUGAGAACCAUGCUUUACACUCAUCCGUAGACAGUGGAUUUCUCACAGUGAAUUGGUGCAUCGUUUUCCCACAUUUUCAGGGCACAAAUUUUCCUCUCGCUCCUUGCUAACUGUAUAUAGCGCCUAGUGAAGCAUUGCCUGUAAGUUGAUUCCGGUUUUAUUCCUUAUCAAGAGGUAUUUCAAGUAGUUUAGAGGCCUUUAUGACAAUCGGUUUUCAUGUCAAGUUGUUUACACAUGUAUAUACCCACAUGUUGACAUGUAUAAGGAGGCAACAACAUAUAACACACCGAGCGAUCAACGUGGUCAUGGGGAUGCGUGUGGAUAUUUUCUGCACCGUGACUAACAGGCCUGUUAAAUCGACAUAUUUCGGGCUUUGUGAGCUCAGUAUUUAUGUGCACAUGUACUCGUUCGACUAGUUAUUAGCAUGAAUCUCAGUGUAUUUUGAAACAAGAGACUCAUACAUGUGUAGUGUUUGUGUAGUAAUAGUGUAGUAUACGUAUCCAUAGCUUGUGUUUUCUCGUUAACUACGCAGUUUUACUCCAUGUCAAUGACAUCAUCAUCCAAUGUGACCAAAUAUUAAAACACCGGAGCUACAUGCGAAGUUAUUUCCUGACUCCCAUUUCGUCAGUGAUAGGAGUUUGGCUGGCUGCCAACUUGAGAUUAGAAACAUCUUAAGGAGGGCAGUACAGUUGUCAUUUAGAUAACGUCUGUUACACUUUCUUUGGACCACAUCUAGCAAAACGUGACCACAGCUACCUCCAGGACCUGCAGGAAAUACCGUUGUGAAACCCAUUGGUACACUUUAAUGCCGGCCGUGUCGCUAAUAUUCUCGAUUUCCAACCGGGCACUGCGGCACUGCACGCGCUGGGAUUUUAUUGCUACGAUGUUCUGUGACUGCAGCAUAUUGAGAACGCGAAUUCGCUCUGCAAGAAGAAGCUGCGCUCUCAGGGGGCUCCAAGCUACUCUGUGAGACGUGCCAUGAGGACAACGAGGCUUCACAUCACUGCAUCGACUGCGGAAAGGAUGUCUGUGCAUAUUGCCGCAAAACGCACUUAGGGUAUCCAGUCUCCUCCAGUCAUACGGUGGUAACUCUAGACAAGAUUCGCCGAGGUAAAGACGUGCACAACCUCAAAUCUCAUCUGAUGAUCUCCGAGAUGCAGCAGAAGUUAAGAAGGCACUCAGCAGCAACACAGCAAAGGCUCAGAAGAGGGUACAGGGCAUGGUUACCAGGUCAAAGUUGAAGAGAAUCAAAUGCCUGAUGAGACUGCAAAUCGAACGAAUGGAUGAGUAUGAGAAGACACUGACUGAACUACUGCAGAGAAAGAAACACUCGCUUAAGUCGGUUCCUGAAGUCAACAAGAAUUCACCAGACGGUGAUUUCCACUCACCAAUGAGCCAGGGAAUGGACAAUCUAACCGGUCAGCGAACUCCCAAGAUUAGGGCUCUGCAGUUGCAUCCCAUGUUUGUACAGAGGCAGAAGCUUGGCGUUGACCUUAGCAACGUGGUUCUGAAAGACACCUGGGAGUUGUGUUGAGCGUUUGACCGGCAAGGAAGCUGUGUACAGGAGUUUGAAUCAGCCAAAGGUAUCGCCUCUGCUGCUGCUGCUGCUGUACCCGACGAGAUUGCUGUGGCUGACUGGAAGAACAAACGAGUAGUCAUAUGCACCAGUCAGGGGUAUACUAAUCGCACCAUUCCAGUUAUGGCAAGUCACCAUUCCAGUUAUGGCAAGUGGGUCUUUCAAUGAUUACUUUUGAUAAGUUUGUUGAUGCUGACAGAACAGACAGAGCAAAAUAAAUGAACAUUUGCAAUAGCUUGGAAAACAAUGUGGAAAAAAAAUUAAACCAAGUUAAACUCCGGAGUAGUAAAACUGUAAGGACCGCCAGCAUACCUUCAAGCCAUUAAACACUAAAAAAGAGUUGUUUAAAGAGGCAUAUUUUUAUACUCCCAUUUUAAAAACAGUGAAAAAUGAAAUAUGCCUCUUUUGCUUUCUACGUAACCAAUAAAAGGCAACAACAUAAUGCGGUAAAGCCCUUAAAUGAUUCUUUGGAGGCAACUUUUAUAUUGAACUCAUGCAUUAAUAACAGUUAAUUUGCAGACAUCAAUUGGUUAUGAUGCCCGUUUGUUCGUAAGAGUAAGUAAAUGUAAGUGUUGUUUUAUUAUUAUUAUUAUUCAUUUUUGGUGAGUGCAUAAUUGUUGAAGGGUAUAAUGGAUUUUUUGUUUAACCCUUCAUGAGCCCGGGACGGAAUCCGUCACUCACCCCCUCAAUUUUUUUUUCCGAUACUGCCGCAAUGCAUUUUUUUUUCAGAAGCUGAGCCCUUUAAGUGGUUGUUAGAGUUACUUUUUGAAUUUUCACACCAGUUUGUUGAAAAUCCGACACACCUUUUUUUUACGCAGGGUGUUUUUUUUUUAGACAUGUCAGCCAACGAUAUAUACUUUUUUCCACUGCAGUGCUCAAUGUACGCGCCGGCACGCACGCGUUUAGCCUUGAACUUCAGAUGACUGUAACAACGAAUUGCUAUGUUUGAUAGAGUUCAAACGUACCAUAAAUAAUUAUAAGGAGUGUCCUGAUCUGCUUGACAAGUUUCAUAAACACUAAGAAAGGCACAGCCGAGUUCUUAAGGGGUAAAAUGGGGGGUGCGUGUUUUCCCUGGGCUUUGGAAUGUGUCAAAGUUAACUCUUCUCUUUUAGGGUUAAACUUAGCCUUGAUCAAGGCGCUGUGCGAUGAGUUUGACAACCCUGGCUGUCAGGCCUCCUGUACCUGCGUUGCAGUAGACUUAAAGUCAAGUUGUUGGUCGGUUGUGUUUUUCGUCCAUGCACUGCGUCAUUUCAAAAUUAGUGCGAAGCCCGUUCACUGUUGCCCGCGAUCCAUCCAGCAUGCCACCCGAUCCUGCCCUUGCUCGGGGGCUGUUCAGUACUGGGUUUGGGCACACGUCGGCCCACGACCCAGAUGCCAGCGUAAUGAUUUGAUCAACCUCACGCUGGAUAAAUAUUCAUGAGUGCGACAAUUGAACUGCAUGAUUCAUAUAUUUCCAUGUAAAGCGCCAAUAGUCCCUCAAACUACAGAACAAGUCAUCCAUUUAUUUAUAGGGAUGUGUACAAUUGAUUAGUGCCAGUUUCUUUCAUAUCUUGCAUCCUUUUAUUACGACGCUUAGAGACAAUUAUACAGAAUUAUUCACGAAUAAAUCUGUUAACUAUCUUUUCUGGUAAGAGAAUCAAUGCUUUAUGGAAAAUCAUCUUUUUUGAUAAUUUAAACACCAUCUUCAUUGAACGAGACUGUUGUUGUUGUUAAUAAGCGUUUAACUGACCAAUCAAACUGCCCCUGAAAUAAAUAUUCUUGUUAUCGGGAUUCUUAACCAAUCAUAGUGCUCUGUCCAAUUUUGGUAAUAAGCCCAUAUGCUGCGCACAAAAGGGCUUGUAUAUUCUUCAGGACGGUAUUUGAGUACCGUGGGACACACAUUGGGGAGCGAGGUUCCACUGACCGUUCCCGUGUAUUAUGAAAUUAAGCCCUUUUCAGACGACGCUGAGAAAAACUCGCAGGGCUUGAGAUAAAAUAUCCAAGGGAGGAUUAUUUACUUUGCGGUUUUACGCUGAAGGCUUGUCUGUCCUUUCACACAACACAGUGUAACAUUUCGCUGGCAUCCCUUGAGAUGCGAACUCUUUCUCCAAGGGUUGCUGGUAGACGGUACAUUGAUGACUAAAAAGUCACGAGUACCAAUGCAAUACGGAGGUCAAGGGUCAAUUUUUGACAGUCGAGAAAAGUGCCGGAGGUAUCACACGCGACUGACGUGGCUGUUGCCAAAAAACGUUCAAAUAAAAAGUGAUAAAAGUGAUGGCGCUGAAAACCCAAAGAAAAAAAGGCUGAAAAGGAGGCAUGGGAAUAUGAGGAAAACAUUCAAUUAAAAACAGCGAUGGAAAAUGCUGUGAUCAGGUCUAAAGUGGAUGGAAUGAUCCAUAAUAGCCACGGGUGGCGAGACAUUGCCGAAAAGAUAUCCGGCUGCACUAGCCAACAGUGCCAUGACCGGUGGGCACAUAUGAAGCGCCGGUACAGAGAAACUAAGAAGAAAAGUAACACAUCGCUUGGAACGUGGAUUACACCCAGCCAAUUACCGACUUGAUUUCAAGUCUAAUGUGGCGGAAACACUGCAUGAUUUAUAUAACGGGUCUUUUGCCCUUAUCCAACGUAUAUUAAUAAGCACUGUAUGCUCAAUGCUUGUCCGAGAGCUUACGAAAAAACUUCACAAGCAUACUCGGGUGGGACUCGAACCCACGACCUUCUGGUUACUAGUGCAAAAUAUCUUAACCACUCGACCACCGAGCUCGCUGGGGUCGGCUGGCCGGUACGAGUCAAGUAGUAAGCAGGAACGUUUUUAUCAGAUCAUGUGAUUUUUCCAGUCAACUGGUUUAAUCCCAUUCUGCCAUUCCGAUCACGUCUCAAAUACAUUUCAGGUCAGAACUACAAAAGGGGAUUCACUCCCAGAAAAGCAGUCGAUUUUGUGUAACACGCAGGAUCUGUUUUAAUCAAUCACACAUGAAGGCCACAAGAACCAUUCGGUUGGGAUGUUUGGUUAUUGAGUUUGUUGACGGUGCUCUUGAGCGAUUGGCCUGUGUUGUUGCUCGUGUUUCUAAACAUAGAUCUCAUUGCAACAAACUGGUGACUGUUUCUCUCGAGAAAACGAACUUUGGACAGAAAUAAACCUCGUACAAUCGAAUUAGGAAAAGAUAUAUCCCCUAAACCGGACUUAUAAACCGGAAAAAAUAUUAUGAAUGGCACUUGAUGACACUACAGGGUUUCGAGCAAACUGAACACAACAUAUAACUGACAAAAAAAUUACAUAGGCUCAGUGCCUAAAAUUGCACUGUAAACGUGCUGGAUAAGAUGUAGGGGGUCAAAUUCCUCCCCUGCCUCCUUUGGGUUAACGUGUUACAAACAACAAAAGUGGUCAGUUUAAUCACCAAAGCGUCAUUUUAUGACAUUCCAACUACGACAGACCUUGUGGGAUUCUAGGUUUACAACCUAGGUAGGCUUACAAAUACAGCCCUGGAUCUUGUCAACGGUGGAUCUCGAGCUGGACCAAGAGAGGGCGCUAUUUCCUUAGUAACAUAGGCGCCUUUAGUUGUACUAGGCACAAAAAGGGACAAACGAAUCUCCCAGGCACCUCGUGUAGCAGUGCUACAUGGUACAGUACAAGCCUAUGAGAUUUCAGGUACCUUCAUAGGCUUGGACUUAGAUAGGCAGUAUGGUUAUAAUAGUAACCAGGAACUAGACCAAACCCUUGCCGCCCACUGGACGCACGUUCAAACACAAAUGGAAGCAGAUACGUCUGGGUGGCAAUUUGUAACAAAAAGAACUACACCAUUGACUUGUGCACAAACCCACUGGUACACUGUGCUACAAACUGGGAAUGGAAAAGUCAAGGGUGGAAAUCUGUAGC